rnacentral:rRNA from 1 species
UACGGGGGGGGCAAGCGUUGUUCGGAAUUACUGGGCGUAAAGGGCUCGUAGGCGGCCAACUAAGUCAGACGUGAAAUCCCUCGGCUUAACCGGGGAACUGCGUCUGAUACUGGAUGGCUUGAAUUCGGGAGAGGGAUGCGGAAUUCCAGGUGUAGCGGUGAAAUGCGUAGAUAUCUGGAGGAACACCGGUGGCGAAGGCGGCAUCCUGGACCGACAUUGACGCUGAGGAGCGAAAGCCAGGGGAGCAAACGGG